rnacentral:rRNA from 2 species
AGAGUUUGAUCCUGGCUCAGGACGAACGCUGGCGGCGUGCUUAACACAUGCAAGUCGAGCGAUGAAGCUUCCUUCGGGGAGUGGAUUAGCGGCGGACGGGUGAGUAACACGUGGGUAACCUGCCUCAAAGUGGGGGAUAGCCUUCCGAAAGGAAGAUUAAUACCGCAUAAUAUAAGAGAAUCGCAUGAUUUUCUUAUCAAAGAUUUAUUGCUUUGAGAUGGACCCGCGGCGCAUUAGCUAGUUGGUAAGGUAACGGCUUACCAAGGCAACGAUGCGUAGCCGACCUGAGAGGGUGAUCGGCCACAUUGGAACUGAGACACGGUCCAGACUCCUACGGGAGGCAGCAGUGGGGAAUAUUGCGCAAUGGGGGAAACCCUGACGCAGCAACGCCGCGUGGGUGAUGAAGGUCUUCGGAUUGUAAAGCCCUGUUUUCUAGGACGAUAAUGACGGUACUAGAGGAGGAAGCCACGGCUAACUACGUGCCAGCAGCCGCGGUAAUACGUAGGUGGCGAGCGUUGUCCGGAUUUACUGGGCGUAAAGGGUGCGUAGGCGGAUGUUUAAGUGGGAUGUGAAAUCCCCGGGCUUAACCUGGGGGCUGCAUUCCAAACUGGAUAUCUAGAGUGCAGGAGAGGAAAGCGGAAUUCCUAGUGUAGCGGUGAAAUGCGUAGAGAUUAGGAAGAACACCAGUGGCGAAGGCGGCUUUCUGGACUGUAACUGACGCUGAGGCACGAAAGCGUGGGUAGCAAACAGGAUUAGAUACCCUGGUAGUCCACGCCGUAAACGAUGGAUACUAGGUGUAGGGGGUAUCAACUCCCCCUGUGCCGCAGUUAACACAAUAAGUAUCCCGCCUGGGGAGUACGGUCGCAAGAUUAAAACUCAAAGGAAUUGACGGGGGCCCGCACAAGCAGCGGAGCAUGUGGUUUAAUUCGAAGCAACGCGAAGAACCUUACCUGGACUUGACAUCCCUUGCAUAGCCUAGAGAUAGGUGAAGCCCUUCGGGGCAAGGAGACAGGUGGUGCAUGGUUGUCGUCAGCUCGUGUCGUGAGAUGUUAGGUUAAGUCCUGCAACGAGCGCAACCCUUGUUAUUAGUUGCUACCAUUAAGUUGAGCACUCUAAUGAGACUGCCUGGGUAACCAGGAGGAAGGUGGGGAUGACGUCAAAUCAUCAUGCCCCUUAUGUCCAGGGCUACACACGUGCUACAAUGGUAGGUACAAUAAGACGCAAGACCGUGAGGUGGAGCAAAACUUAUAAAACCUAUCUCAGUUCGGAUUGUAGGCUGCAACUCGCCUACAUGAAGCUGGAGUUGCUAGUAAUCGCGAAUCAGAAUGUCGCGGUGAAUACGUUCCCGGGCCUUGUACACACCGCCCGUCACACCAUGAGAGCUGGUAACACCCGAAGUCCGUGAGGUAACCGUAAGGAGCCAGCGGCCGAAGGUGGGAUUAGUGAUUGGGGUGAAGUCGUAACAAGGUAGCCGUAGGAGAACCUGCGGCUGGAUCACCUCC